GUAGGAUAAACUGUGCGGUCACAUCAGUCCAGCUUUAAUAUCUGCUAGACUGAUGUGACCGCACAGUUUAUCCUGC